CCUACGGGAGGCUGCAGUGGGGAAUAUUGCACAAUGGGGGAAACCCUGAUGCAGCAACGCCGCGUGAGCGAUGAAGGCCUUCGGGUCGUAAAGCUCUGUCCUCAGGGACGAAUACUGACGGUACCAUAGGAGGAAGCCCCGGCUAACUACGUGCCAGAAGCCGCGGUAAUACGUAGGGGGCUAGCGUUAGCCGGAAUUACUGGGCGUAAAGGGUGCGCAGGCGGCCUUUCAAGUCAGUGGUGAAAGGCUACGGCUCAACCGUAGUAAGCCUUUGGAACUGGAGGGCUUGAGUGCAGGAGAGGGGAGUGGAAUUCCCAGUGUAGCGGUGAAAUGCGUAGAUAUGGGGAGGAACACCAAUUGCGAAGGCGGCUCUCUGGACUGUAACUGACGCUGAGGCACGAAAGCGUGGGGAGCGAACAGGAUUAGAUACCCUAGUAGUC
rnacentral:rRNA from 1 species